UACGAAGGGGGCUAGCGUUGUUCGGAUUUACUGGGCGUAAAGGGCGCGUAGGCGGCCACCGCAAGUCGGUUGUGAAAUCUCUGGGCUUAACCCAGAAAGGUCAACCGAUACUGCGGGGCUAGAGUGCAGAAGGGGCAACUGGAAUUCUCGGUGUAGCGGUGAAAUGCGUAGAUAUCGAGAGGAACACCUGCGGCGAAGGCGGGUUGCUGGGCUGACACUGACGCUGAAGCGCGAAAGCUAGGGGAGCGAACGGG
rnacentral:rRNA from 1 species